AGUGAACGCUGGCGGUAUGCCUAACACAUGCAAGUCGAACGACAGCACAGUAAGAUCUUUCUCUUACGGGUAGCGAGUGACGGACGGGUGAGGAAUACAUCGGAAUCUACUUUUUCUUGGGUGAUAACGUAAGGAAACUUACGCUAAUACCUCAUAUGACCUACGGGUGAAAUCAGGAGAGCUUCGGACUUUUCGCGAUUGAAUUAGCCGAUGUCGGAUUAGCUAGUUGGCGAGGUAAAGGCCCACCAAGGCGACGAUCCGUAGCUGGUCUGAGAGGAUGAUCAGCCACACUGGAACUGAGACACGGUCCAGACUCCUACGGGAGGCAGCAGUAGGGAAUAUUCCACAAUGGGCGAAAGCUUGAUCGAGCAAUGCCGCGUGAGUGAAGAAGGCCUUCGGAUUGUAAAACCCUUUUGUUGGGAAAGAAAAAAAGUGGGAUAAACCCUCGAUGUUCUGACGGUACCCAAAGAAAAAGCCACGGCUAACUUCGUG
rnacentral:rRNA from 1 species